ACGGGAGGCAGCAGUAGGGAAUCUUCGGCAAUGGGGGCAACCCUGACCGAGCAACGCCGCGUGAGUGAAGAAGGUUUUCGGAUCGUAAAGCUCUGUUGUAAGAGAAGAACGUGUGUGAGAGUGGAAAGUUCACACAGUGACGGUAACUUACCAGAAAGGGACGGCUAACUACGUGCCAGCAGCCGCGGUAAUACGUAGGUCCCGAGCGUUGUCCGGAUUUAUUGGGCGUAAAGCGAGCGCAGGCGGUUUAAUAAGUCUGAGGUUAAAGGCAGUGGCUUAACCAUUGUUCGCUUUGGAAACUGUUAGGCUUGAGUGCAGAAGGGGAGAGUGGAAUUCCAUGUGUAGCGGUGAAAUGCGUAGAUAUAUGGAGGAACACCGGUGGCGAAGGCGGCUUUCUGGUCUGUAACUGACGCUGAGGCUCGAAAGCGUGGGGAGCAAACAGGAUUAGAUACCCUGGUA
rnacentral:rRNA from 1 species